GACGAACGCUGGCGGCGUGCUUAACACAUGCAGGUCGAACGGUAAGGCCCUUCGGGGUACACGAGUGGCGAACGGGUGAGUAACACGUGGGUGAUCUGCCCUGCACUUCGGGAUAAGCCUGGGAAACUGGGUCUAAUACCGGAUAGGACCACUGCCUGCAUGGGUGGUGGUGGAAAGCUUUUGCGGUGUGGGAUGGGCCCGCGGCCUAUCAGCUUGUUGGUGGGGUGGUGGCCUACCAAGGCGACGACGGGUAGCCGGCCUGAGAGGGUGACCGGCCACACUGGGACUGAGCUACGGCCCAGAAUCCUACGGGAGGCAGCAGUGGGGAAUAUUGCACAAUGGGCGCAAGCCUGAUGCAGCGACGCCGCGUGAGGGAUGACGGCCUUCGGGUUGUAAACCUCUUUCAGCACCGACGAAGCGCAAGUGACGGUAGGUGCAGAAGAAGGACCGGCCAACUACGUGCCAGCCGCCGCAGUAA
rnacentral:rRNA from 1 species